rnacentral:rRNA from 1 species
GAUGAACGCUGGCGGCGUGCCUAAUACAUGCAAGUAGAACGCUGAAGGAGGAGCUUGCUCUUCUGGAUGAGUUGCGAACGAGUGAGUAACGCGUAGGUAACCUGCCUGGUAGCGGGGGAUAACUAUUGGAAACGAUAGCUAAUACCGCAUGACAACAGUUAUUGCAUGAUAACUGUUUAAAAGGGGCAACUGCUCCACUACCAGAUGGACCUGCGUUGUAUUAGCUAGUUGGUGAGGUAACGGCUCACCAAGGCGACGAUACAUAGCCGACCUGAGAGGGUGAUCGGCCACACUGGGACUGAGACACGGCCCAGACUCCUACGGGAGGCAGCAGUAGGGAAUCUUCGGCAAUGGACGGAAGUCUGACCGAGCAACGCCGCGUGAGUGAAGAAGGUUUUCGGAUCGUAAAGCUCUGUUGCAAGAGAAGAACGAGUGUGAGAGUGGAAAGUUCACACUGUGACGGUAUCUUACCAGAAAGGGACGGCUAACUACGUG